GCCGUCGUUGAAUUCUUCGCCAAACCGGACGUAGAUAAAAGCACCUGGCAUUAUUCUUUAGUUAUCAUCACAGAGUGAACUGGUUCCAAAUAUUCGAUUCGGCACGGAGGAAGAAGUUCGAAACUAGUAGGACAAAUGAGUACUCGUCGACUUCCAACAUGGCUGCUUUGCGACGCUCAUUGAGUCGAGCACAAGUUAAUCGUUUCAACCAAAGUCUUCUGAUGAAAGUGCAAUUACACCCCGUACAAAACGAUCCGAGUUGGCUCGGCUUUUUUGACACGUGCUGCCACGUCGACGGCCGCGACUGAAAUCUCAACGAGAGGGAGGAAGGAAAAAACUUGAAACUCACCAUGCACGAAACAAACCAGUGGUUCCAGGAUAUCGGGGAUAUCCUGGAGGAGUUCCGUAAGGUGGGCGGGAAUCCCGGGCGGCGGAGUUCACGACGUCCUGGCCGUUGCGGGCGGGAAGUGGACGGACAUCCUUGCGGUCGAAGGCCGCGGAUCGGACGCCUCGUGGACGUCCUCGACGUCGGAAGGAUCCGACGGCCAAGCCCGACUCUUUUCCUCUUUCCCUCGACGCGAUCCUGACCUCUCCCCGCGUUACUACCGGCCAGGAAAAUCUAUAAAGGCCGCGUCUGCGCCAGCGCGCUUUUCCGCCCUCUCAAGCCCGCCCGGUGGACUUUGUCGGCCUGCCGCCCCAUUGAUUGCCAUUCCCGCCAUCCUACGAAAAGGACCUCCUAAAGUCCACCUCUUUCUUUCUUUUGUUUUGAAUGCUCGCAACCCGAGCGAAAAAUUUACUGUCUAGACGAAAUUCAUUAUAUGUCGCGAUGUUAAUAUUUCUUGCCAGAGAAGCAUCAGUAAAAUUGAUUUUGUAGAAAUCAUUAGGGCUACGAUCCUAUGAGUUAAUAUCAAGUGAAAUGACUUUUUCGGAAUGAGUUUUAUGAAUAAAAUUGGUCUCCGGUAUUGAAAAUAUUAAUGGAAAUUAUAUCACAUUUUUUUAAGGGACCGUCCGAUUCAACUCGAGCAGCCUAGGACUCGCAUAUAAAAAAAUUAUUAAUAUCGUUUGUAGUCGGUUAUUUGAAAAUAUUCAUUUGCUUUAAUUUCAUUUGAUCUCAAUUUCUUGACAGGAGUAAAUAAAGAUUUAGUCGACACAUGAAUAUCUUUUUUUCUAAUACGUUUUCUCUCUAUAGAUUUAUAUGUAUUGAAUGUACGAGCAUAGAAAAAAUACAGAAGUUUCACUUUAAAAAUUUGAUUCAAUUAAUAAAGUUACUGGUUCAUUGCAUUAUUGAGCAUUAUUCAUUCCAUUUCCACCAUGCAAAGAAAAGAUCUCCGAGUGAAAUCUAAGUUAACUUUUGUUACGCCUUCUAUUUUAAUUAUAUCUAUUUUCAGUAAGGAAAUGCAAGAAAAACUACGCGCCCUAGUUCUUUACGAAUUUUUGUUUCCCUAUAGGAAUUUCUUAUAGAUGUUUAAUACAA